rnacentral:rRNA from 1 species
AGUGAACGCUGGCGGUAGGCCUAACACAUGCAAGUCGAACGGCAGCACAGUAAGAGCUUGCUCUUACGGGUGGCGAGUGGCGGACGGGUGAGGAAUACAUCGGAAUCUACUUUUUCGUGGGGGAUAACGUAGGGAAACUUACGCUAAUACUGCAUACGACCUACGGGUGAAAGCAGGGGAUCUUCGGACCUUGCGCGAUUGAAUGAGCCGAUGUCGGAUUAGCUAGUUGGCGGGGUAAAGGCCCACCAAGGCGACGAUCCGUAGCUGGUCUGAGAGGAUGAUCAGCCACACUGGAACUGAGACACGGUCCAGACUCCUACGGGAGGCAGCAGUGGGGAAUAUUGGACAAUGGGCGCAAGCCUGAUCCAGCCAUACCGCGUGGGUGAAGAAGGCCUUCGGGUUGUAAAGCCCUUUUGUUGGGAAAGAAAAGCAGCAGGUUAAUACCCCGCUGUUCUGACGGUACCCAAAGAAUAAGCACUGGCUAACUUCGUG